ACUGUGUCAGUAGAUCUGUGUGCCUUAAUCAAUAAUUUCAUGGGGGUCCAAGCCUGAAUUGGUGUUCUUGUGAGUUAUGAGAUAAUCUCUAAAAACUAAUGUAUUAUUGAUCGACUAUAACAAUCAGAUGGGAUCUCUUUAUAGUCACUACAAUAAUUCAGUCUCAUAAGAAUAGGCCAGCUAGAGUAGGUUUGCUAGGAACAGCAAAAAGUAGAAUCAAUACAAUUAUGCUCUAGAAUUAAAGCAAGACUAAAAAUAGGAUCAUCAUCCUGCUUGUUUUAUUGGUUUGAUUUAUGUUAAAAGGUUAGUUAUAUUGUGUCAUGUAUGUUUAUUUUUUUUCAAAAUAAUUUGUCAUUAUACUAUGUUCAUUCUAUUUCUUAUAUUAGCAUUUUUCUAGAGAUUGGACUUUAAUAAACUUGAUAAAACUUCCUUUAUGGCAUAGACAAUGUUCAUUUAUUCUAUGUAGAGAUGUGGACUCCAAAAACUAAUAUAUUUGGUGGAGGGUGACGUAAAUAGCUUGGAGGCUGCUGAAAGCAUCAAAACUGCACCAAUACAAGUGCAAAAGGAAGCAAGUUCAUCAUUACUGAAGAUCGAGUCAAAAAGAAGCUUAAGUGUAUUUUUGUACAUCUAAGGAUUAACGAUCAAGUGAAACUUAUGAUGCCUUUAUUCAUAUGGGGAACUCCCUGUAUUCUAUGAAAUAUGUUUCACAACAGAAAUACUGGAAGGGUUUGAUGUACAAAGGACGAGUGGUUUUGCUGAUACCGUGAGAAAAUAUGGCUCUCUCACAAAAUCUAUAAUGGACUACUACAGUGAGCAGUUCUGCAUUGGCAAGGUCAGGUACUCUAGGGUUUGCCUCUCAUAUGAGGAAUUUGUCAAUAAAUGUCAAGAUCUUGACAAGAUGACUGUUAAUGAUGUUUUUGCUCUUCAACUCAUGCAGGUUCCUCAGGUAACAGAAGAUAUUGCUCUUGCUGUUGUGGGCUGAUAUCCAACUGUUUUUUCCCUGGCACAGGCAUACUUUCAGCUGGAGGGAGACCAUCGCGGUCGGGAGGAGUUGCUGAAGAACAACAGUAAAUCCGUGAGCUCUUCAGCCCGCCGGAAUAUCUUCAAGCUUGUUUGGGGUGGCUGAUGCAACUUUUCUUCUGAUAAUCAGGACCUGACUAGGAAGACCAAUUGACCGCCCUGGAUAAUUCACGGUCAUAGUUGGUAUCUUGAUCCAUGGAUCAUGGAUCCAUGAUCCAUGAUCCAUGAUCCAUGAUCCAACAAGUUAUAGGGUCUUUGGAGCAUUCCCAUUCUUGCAUUGGGGGCGUCCUUGCAAAGGAAAAGACAAACUCCAGGAGUGGAAUAAAUGACUUGGAUGUAAUUGUUUUUGCUCUA